AUUGAACGCUGGCGGCGUGCCUAACACAUGCAAGUCGAGCGGUAACAGGGUGUAGCAAUACAUGCUGACGAGCGGCGAACGGGUGAGUAAUGCUUCGGGAAUCUGCCCAUGUAGUGGGGAAUAACCAGCCGAAAGGUUGGCUAAUACCGCAUACGACCUACGGGUGAAAGCAGGGGAUCGCAAGACCUUGCGCUAUUGGAUGAGCCGAAGUCGGAUAGGCUUGUUGGUGAGGUUAACGGCUCACCAAGGCGACGAUCCGUAGCUGGUCUGAGAGGACGACCAGCCACACUGGGACUGAGACACGGCCCAGACUCCUACGGGAGGCAGUCAGUGGGGAAUAUUGGACAAUGGGGCAACCCUGAU
rnacentral:rRNA from 1 species